UUGAAAGGGAAACGAUUGAAGUCAGUCGCGUCUGCUGGGACUCAACCUUGCUUUUGCCUGGUGUACUUCUCAGUAGAUGGGCCAGCAUCAAUUUCGGGCGCCGGAAAAGGAUUUGAGGAAUGUGGCUCUGAUCUUGUAUCGGAGUGUUAUAGCCUUUGGUAGAUGUGACGAUUGGGAUCGAGGAUUGCAACGAAUACCCUUCUGGGCUAUCCGUCUGACCUCUGAAAGUCGCUCGGGUGUCGAAAGCGUGCUGACUGUGAUCUGAUUUUCGGUUAAAAGAUUAGAGCGAGUGUAAAUUCGUUAAGGAUGUUGACGUA
rnacentral:rRNA from 1 species